AGAGUUUGAUCCUGGCUCAGGAUGAACGCUAGCGGCAGGCUUAACACAUGCAAGUCGAGGGGCAGCGGAUGAGUAGCAAUACUUAUGCCGGCGACCGGCGGAAGGGUGCGUAACGCGUGAGCAACAUACCUAUAACAGGAGGAUAAUCCAGGGAAACUUGGUCUAAUACUCCAUAGAAUUAUUUAGAGGCAUCUUUAGAUAAUUAAAGCUGAGGUGGUUAUAGAUUGGCUCGCGUGACAUUAGCUAGAUGGUAAGGUAACGGCUUACCAUGGCGACGAUGUCUAGGGGUUCUGAGAGGAAGGUCCCCCACACUGGAACUGAGACACGGUCCAGACUCCUACGGGAGGCAGCAGUGAGGAAUAUUGGACAAUGGAUGGAAAUCUGAUCCAGCCAUGCCGCGUGGAGGAAGAAGGUCCUAUGGAUUGUAAACUUCUUUUGUACGGGAGCAAUAAGGGUCAUGAAUGGCUUGAUGAGAGUACCGUACGAAUAAGCAUCGGCUAACUCCGUGCCAGCAGCCGCGGUAAUACGGAGGAUGCGAGCGUUAUCCGGAUUUAUUGGGUUUAAAGGGUGCGUAGGCGGUUACUGUAAGUCAGCGGUGAAAUUUAGGUGCUUAACACCUACCGUGCCGUUGAUACUGCAGAGCUGGAAUUAGGAUGCUGUUGGCGGAAUGUGUAGUGUAGCGGUGAAAUGCAUAGAUAUUACACAGAACACCGAUUGCGAAGGCAGCUGACAAAUCCUAAAUUGACGCUGAUGCACGAAAGUGUGGGGAUCAAACAGGAUUAGAUACCCUGGUAGUCCACACAGUAAACGAUGAUAACUCGCUGUCGGCGAUAUAAUGUCGGUAGUCAAGAGAAAUCGAUAAGUUAUCCACCUGGGGGAGUACGAACCGCAAAGGUUGAAACUCAAAAGGAAUUGACGGGGGGCCCGCACAAGCGGAGGACAUGUGGGUUUAAUCCAUGAACCCCAAGGAACUUACCCGGCUCGAAGGACUUGAAAUGGAAAGAUUCUAACUUGCAUAACGGGUUCGAGUGCUGCAGGUUGCCUCACUCCUGGCCUGAGUGGCGGCUAAAUCCAUAACGAGCGAACCCUUAUUUCCGUUCCAUCAGGUAAGGUGGGGACCUUGGAAUAUCGCACCUAAAGGAAAAAAAAAGUGGGGAUAGACGUCAAACCCACGCGCCUUAUUUCCGGGGCGACCCUUUGUACAAUUGGGCUGGCAAAGGGGGAGCUCCCUUUGGGAAUGGUGGCGAAUCUCAAAAGCCGAUCUCAGUUCGGAUUGGAGUCUGCAACUCGACUCCAUGAAGUUGGAUUCGCUAGUAAUCGCGCAUCAGCCAUGGCGCGGUGAAUACGUUCCCGGGCCUUGCACACACCGCCCGUC
rnacentral:rRNA from 1 species